rnacentral:tRNA from 1 species
CAUUAAAUGACUGAAAAAAGUAUUGAUUUUUUAAAUCAAAUAAUAAUAGAAUUAUUUUAAACUAUUUUUAAUGA